rnacentral:misc_RNA from 1 species
GACACACUGUACUUUAAUAUUCUCUUCCACUUGCUGAUAGUUUUGAAUGACAUUAUUAUGCAUCAUUGCUUCGAAGAGUUUGUGAUUUUGUUAUGAAGUAUCAAUGUCAUUAUUUUAUUGUCAUUAUAGAGUUGAGCUGCAGUAAGCUCGUACUUUGAUAUGAAACCACUUUUUUUAUUAAACGAAGAAGAUCAUUAGGGCUAAAUUAUUAAAAUACGGCAUGAAAUCUGAUCAAAACUACAUCCCACAGAAACGAU